UACGUAGGGUGCGAGCGUUGUCCGGAAUUACUGGGCGUAAAGAGCUCGUAGGUGGUUUGUCGCGUUGUCCGUGAAAACUCACAGCUCAACUGUGGGCGUGCGGGCGAUACGGGCAGACUGGAGUACUGCAGGGGAGACUGGAAUUCCUGGUGUAGCGGUGGAAUGCGCAGAUAUCAGGAGGAACACCGGUGGCGAAGGCGGGUCUCUGGGCAGUAACUGACGCUGAGGAGCGAAAGCGUGGGGAGCGAACCGG
rnacentral:rRNA from 1 species